rnacentral:rRNA from 1 species
AUAGACGAACUAAUCAUGAUUAGUUUCGCCUUCUUAGAGGGACUUUGUAAGCAAAUACAAGGAAGUUUGAGGCAAUAACAGGUCUGUGAUGCCCUUAGAUGUCCUGGGCCGCACGCGUGCUACACUGACGCAUACAACGAGCAAUUCCGGCCCCGAAAGGUGGCUGGUAAUCAGAAAUAUGCGUCGUGAUGGGGAUAGAUCUUUGGAAUUUUUGAUCUUGAACGAGGAAUGCCUAGUAAGCGUAAGUCAUCAGCUUGCGUUGAUUAAGUCCCUGCCCUUUGUACACACCGCCCGUCGCUCCUACCGAUUUCGAGUGGUCCGGUGAACCUUUCGGAUUGAGAUAGCCAUGAGCUGUCUUGAAAAGUCAAGUAAACCACAUCACUUAGAGGAAGGAGAAGUC